GUGGGGAAUAUUGCACAAUGGGCGCAAGCCUGAUGCAGCAACGCCGCGUGAGGGAUGACGGCCUUCGGGUUGUAAACCUCUUUUAGUAGGGAAGAAGCGAAAGUGACGGUACCUGCAGAAAAAGCACCGGCUAACUACGUGCCAGCAGCCGCGGUAAUACGUAGGGUGCAAGCGUUGUCCGGAAUUAUUGGGCGUAAAGAGCUCGUAGGCGGCUUGUCGCGUCUGCUGUGAAAUCCCGGGGCUCAACCCGGGGCCUGCAGUGGGUACGGGCAGGGUAGAGUGCGGUAGGGGAGAUUGGAAUUCCUGGUGUAGCGGUGGAAUGCGCAGAUAUCAGGAGGAACACCGAUGGCGAAGGCAGAUCUCUGGGCCGCUACUGACGCUGAGGAGCGAAAGCAUGGGGAGCGAACAGGAUUAGAAACCCGGGUAGUCC
rnacentral:rRNA from 1 species